AUCUUUUGAGUAUGACUAAGUACACUUGCCUUCCAAGUAAGGGGAUUAAAUAAAUUUAAAAAAGAUA
rnacentral:tRNA from 1 species